ACCGAUGAUUUUCCAAUCCAACUUGCUAGAGGUUGUAGUUGAUCCAAGACCCUGCUUCAGGGAGAACCUACUUGGUGUUACUACACUUCCUAUGACAGCAACCUUUGUUCUGAGGU
rfam:Phaseolus vulgaris cultivar G19833 chromosome 11, whole genome shotgun sequence.